AGUGAACGCUGGCGGUAGGCCUAACACAUGCAAGUCGAACGGCAGCACAGUAAGAGCUUGCUCUUACGGGUGGCGAGUGGCGGACGGGUGAGGAAUACAUCGGAAUCUACUUUUUCGUGGGGGAUAACGUAGGGACACUUACGCUAAUACCGCAUACGACCUACGGGUGAAAGCAGGGGAUCUUCGGACCUUGCGCGAUUGAAUGAGCCGAUGUCGGAUUAGCUAGUUGGCGGGGUAAAGGCCCACCAAGGCGACGAUCCGUAGCUGGGCUGAGAGGAUGAUCAGCCACACUGGAACUGAGACACGGUCCAGACUCCUACGGGAGGCAGCAGUGGGGAAUAUUGGACAAUGGGCGCAAGCCUGAUCCAGCCAUACCGCGUGAGUGAAGAAGGCCUUCGGGUUGUAAAGCCCUUUUGUUGGGAAAGAAAAGCAGCAUGUGAAUACCCCGCUGUUCUGACGGUACCCAAAGAAUAAGCACCGGCUAACUUCGUG
rnacentral:rRNA from 1 species